rnacentral:rRNA from 1 species
GAUGAACGCUAGCGGCAGGCCUAACACAUGCAAGUCGAGGGGUAACAGAGGAGCUUGCUUCUGCUGACGACCGGCGCACGGGUGCGUAACGCGUAUACAAUUUGCCUUGUACUGGAGGAUAGCCCGGAGAAAUCCGGAUUAAUACUCCAUAACAUCAUGAAUUCGCAUGUUUUUAUGAUUAAAGCUUCGGCGGUACAAGAUGAGUAUGCGUCCUAUUAGCUAGAUGGUGAGGUAACGGCUCACCAUGGCGACGAUAGGUAGGGGGCCUGAGAGGGUUGUCCCCCACACUGGUACUGAGACACGGACCAGACUCCUACGGGAGGCAGCAGUGAGGAAUAUUGGUCAAUGGAGGAAACUCUGAACCAGCCAUGCCGCGUGAAGGAAGAAUGUCCUACGGAUUGUAAACUUCUUUUAUUUGGGAAGAAACUUCUCUACGUGUAGAGAACUGACGGUACCAAACGAAUAAGGACCGGCUAACUCCG